ACAAUGCGGAACAAUGUUUUGCAAUUGGAUUGAGAACAACGUACAAACCUUAUCGAUAAACAAUUGGAGGGCAAGUCUGGUGCCAGCAGCCGCGGUAAUUCCAGCUCCAAUAGCGUAUAUUAACGUUGUUGCAGUUAAAAAGCUCGUAGUUGAAAUGAAGGGUAGUUGUGUAAUGAAUACAUUCGUGUAUUUUGUUAUUCAAGUAUCCUCCUUCUAAAUUCGAUAUAUGAGUAUUAAUUUACUUGUAUAUGGUUUUAGACAUUUACUGUGAGAAAAUUAGAGUGUUCAAAGCAGGCAUUUGCUUGAAUAUAUUAGCAUGGAAUAAUCAUGUAUGAUUUUCAUGAUGUAUUUGAUUGGUUUGGUUGAUGAGAAUAAGAUUAAAAGGGACAGUUGGGGGUAUUCAUAUUCAAUAGUCAGAGGUGAAAUUCUCGGAUUUAUGGAAGAUGAAC
rnacentral:rRNA from 1 species